CAUUGACCAUCCAUUUACUCUUGUUUGUAGAUAUAUAGAAAGUGUUCUCUCUCGACAGAAUUCUACACACACCUAUCCAGAGCUCGUUGAAUAUCUAAAUGCCAUAGAUUCUUGGGUAAUGAAAUAUAAGUUCCCUUCAGAAAAGGACAUGAAGCACAUCAACCGGAAACUAAAAUCUUGUUGGGGCCAUGGCUCACAUGAAGAGGGUAAGAAACGGGAAAAGAAAUCGAAGCACAAGUCCAAAAGUUCAAAUGAAAUGCAAAAUGGGCCUUCUCAUGUGUAACCAUACAUUCUGCUUUUCGUCUUGGAUUCCUAAAGUGAUUAUCGUCAAACAUGAAUUCAGAUAAAUAUACUAAGCUUUUCAUGGCCUAAUCGAGUUCUGGAUUGCAAGAGAAGUCUUUCCAGUGGAAGAGAAAUCUGAUUCUUUUACAGAUAAAUUUCAAGGCAUUAUCAAGAUUCUUUGCUUCCGAUUUUGUGAGUUAGAAUUUUGUUAUUUUUGAAACAGCGGAACAUAUCCAUUG